UACGUAGGGUGCAAGCGUUAAUCGGAAUUACUGGGCGUAAAGCGUGCGCAGGCGGUUGUGCAAGACAGGUGUGAAAUCCCCGGGCUUAACCUGGGAACUGCACUUGUGACUGCAUAGCUGGAGUACGGCAGAGGGGGAUGGAAUUCCGCGUGUAGCAGUGAAAUGCGUAGAUAUGCGGAGGAACACCGAUGGCGAAGGCAGUCCCCUGGGCCUGUACUGACGCUCAUGCACGAAAGCGUGGGGAGCAAACAGG
rnacentral:rRNA from 1 species